GUCCGACUGCAGACGACAAUAGUUGUGAAUUACAGCACAGAUCUAUUGCUAAUGGUCACCUAACAAACCAAAAGCUAAUCAUCAAACAUAGCCGUUUAAAGAAACUUAGUUUGUGGGGUUGUUCUGGUUUGGAUAGAGGUUGUUACUUCAAUGCCCUGGUUUGGAAAAUGUGCAUGCAUCUUGUUCUCAAGAUCUUCUAAGUAUGGCCAUCCAAAAUCAGGUCCGCAAUGCAUAUACAGCCAUGGAAAAUCUUUUACUUUGUAAGCGUUUACCUGAUGGGUCCAAAAGGGUCCCGGUUCCUCAUCAUUUACUCAGUAACGAGUUAAAAACAAUAACAGCAAGUUUAGUCUACCUCACCUUAUUUUUUUUGGUAUAUUAGUUGGAAGCUAUCUCUGUAUUUUGCAUGCACUGUAGCCAGUGUUAUCUAAAUUUGAUUUUGUGCAUCAAUUACCUGUAUCACAUUUUGUUAAGUAAAGCAUCUUUGUUUGUUUAAUGUCCCAUGUCAAGAAUAUUCAAGAAGAAUGAAUAUGAUGAAGAAUAAGAGAGAAAAAAGAGAGUGAUAUUGACUGAGUAUAUAGUUGUUAUAUGCUAUUAAGUGUGUUACAUAGAGAGAACAAUGUACUGCUAUUUUAUAGCUAAAGUUUGGUGAUAGAAAGCUAAAAUAAAGAAAGCUAUUAGAUAGUAAUUGAAUUUGAAUGAGUCAAUUCUUGUUUUUGGGAUCCUAAGCUGUUAUUAUUCUUUACAUCUCCUCUCAAGCUGUUAUUACAAUCUA